GCUUUUAUAGUUUAAUUUAAAACGUUACACUGAAAAUGUAAAAAUAAAUUUUUAAAAGUA
rnacentral:tRNA from 2 species